rnacentral:rRNA from 1 species
AUGGAAAUUGAGAGGGACAGUGUGCGAGGCAGUUUUAUGGAACUACUAAACAUGGUUGAGCAGCCAAUGUCAAAUUUCAAUCAACAGAGCACUGUAAACUCAGUACCUGAAGAAAGUUCAUGUUAUUCUGAUAGACCUUAUUGCUCAGAAGACAAUGAUGUACUUUCCAGACCUAACUUAAGGGUUGACACUUAUGAUUAUGUCGAUGACUCAAAUGAAGUAGAGUCACGUCUACAAUGUAUCAAAGACCCGUUCGAACUUCCAGAUAAGAUGUCUAGGCCUGAAAAUCUAGAUGAGCACUACCUAUUUUCUGCAUACAAUGUUCAGACUGAAGAGUCAGAUUCGAAUGAAAGAUACAUGGAAGGAGGACCAGUUGGAGCUGUGGAACACGGAAUUAGAAGUUUUUGUGAAGACACUUCUGUUCAAAUGUUAAGGCCGGUUGUUGGUAUGAAGUUUUCAUCUAUUGCAGAAGCAUAUGACUUCUACAAUACUUAUUCUUGGGUGCUUGGUUUCAGUAUUCGCAAUGGUGAUAAUUAUAUCACGAUUCGCACUCGCGUACAGACAAUGCAGGAAUUCACUUGCCAAAGAGCAGGCUUCAGACAAGAAUACUAA